rnacentral:rRNA from 1 species
GAUGAACGCUAGCGGCAGGCCUUAUACAUGCAAGUCGAACGGUGUAGCAAUACACAGUGGCGCACGGGUGCGUAACACGUAUGCAACCUACCUUACAUUGGGGGAUAGCCUUUCGAAAGGGAGAUUAAUACCGCAUAAGACGGUAACUAGGCAUCUAGUAGCUGUUAAAGAUUUAUCGAUGUAAGCUGGGCAUGCGUCCAAUUAGUUAGUUGGCGAGGUAAUGGCACACCAAGACGAUGAUUGGUAGGGGAACUGAGAGGUCAAUCCCCCACACUGGCACUGAGAUACGGGCCAGACUCCUACGGGAGGCAGCAGUAGGGAAUAUUGGGCAAUGGGCGCAAGCCUGACCCAGCCAUGCCGCGUGCAGGAAGAAGGCGUUAUGCGUUGUAAACUGCUUUUAUACAGGAAGAAACGACCCUUGCGAGGGGCAUUGACGGUACUGUAUGAAUAAGCACCGGCUAACUCCGUGCCAGCCGCCGCAGUAAUAC